GAUGAACGCUGGCGGCGUGCCUAAUACAUGCAAGUCGAGCGAACGGACGAGAAGCUUGCUUCUCUGAUGUUAGCGGCGGACGGGCGAGUAACACGUGGAUAACCUACCUAUAAGACUGGGAUAACUUCGGGAAACCGGAGCUAAUACCGGAUAAUAUUUUGAACCGCAUGGUUCAAAAGUGAAAGACGGUCUUGCUGUCACUUAUAGAUGGAUCCGCGCUGCAUUAGCUAGUUGGUAAGGUAAAGGCUUACCAAGGCAACGAUGCAUAGCCGACCUGAGAGGGUGAUCGGCCACACUGGAGCUGAGACACGGUCCAGACUCCUACGGGAGGCAGCAGUAGGGAAUCUUCCGCAAUGGGCGAAAGCCUGACGGAGCAACGCCGCGUGAGUGAUGAAGGUCUUCGGAUCGUAAAACUCUGUUAUUAGGGAAGAACAUAUGUGUAAGUAACUGUGCACAUCUUGACGGUACCUAAUCAGAAAGCCACGGCUAACUACGUG
rnacentral:rRNA from 1 species